GGUUAAGCGACUAAGCGUACACGGUGGAUGCCCUGGCAGUCAGAGGCGAUGAAGGACGUGCUAAUCUGCGAUAAGCGUCGGUAAGGUGAUAUGAACCGUUAUAACCGGCGAUUUCCGAAUGGGGAAACCCAGUGUGUUUCGACACACUAUCAUUAACUGAAUCCAUAGGUUAAUGAGGCGAACCGGGGGAACUGAAACAUCUAAGUACCCCGAGGAAAAGAAAUCAACCGAGAUUCCCCCAGUAGCGGCGAGCGAACGGGGAGGAGCCCAGAGCCUGAAUCAGUGUGUGUGUUAGUGGAAGCGUCUGGAAAGGCGCGCGAUACAGGGUGACAGCCCCGUACACAAAAAUGCACAUACUGUGAGCUCGAUGAGUAGGGCGGGACACGUGGUAUCCUGUCUGAAUAUGGGGGGACCAUCCUCCAAGGCUAAAUACUCCUGACUGACCGAUAGUGAACCAGUACCGUGAGGGAAAGGCGAAAAGAACCCCGGCGAGGGGAGUGAAAAAGAACCUGAAACCGUGUACGUACAAGCAGUGGGAGCACGCUUAGGCGUGUGACUGCGUACCUUUUGUAUAAUGGGUCAGCGACUUAUAUUCUGUAGCAAGGUUAACCGAAUAGGGGAGCCGAAGGGAAACCGAGUCUUAACUGGGCGUUAAGUUGCAGGGUAUAGACCCGAAACCCGGUGAUCUAGCCAUGGGCAGGUUGAAGGUUGGGUAACACUAACUGGAGGACCGAACCGACUAAUGUUGAAAAAUUAGCGGAUGACUUGUGGCUGGGGGUGAAAGGCCAAUCAAACCGGGAGAUAGCUGGUUCUCCCCGAAAGCUAUUUAGGUAGCGCCUCGUGAAUUCAUCUCCGGGGGUAGAGCACUGUUUCGGCAAGGGGGUCAUCCCGACUUACCAACCCGAUGCAAACUGCGAAUACCGGAGAAUGUUAUCACGGGAGACACACGGCGGGUGCUAACGUCCGUCGUGAAGAGGGAAACAACCCAGACCGCCAGCUAAGGUCCCAAAGUCAUGGUUAAGUGGGAAACGAUGUGGGAAGGCCCAGACAGCCAGGAUGUUGGCUUAGAAGCAGCCAUCAUUUAAAGAAAGCGUAAUAGCUCACUGGUCGAGUCGGCCUGCGCGGAAGAUGUAACGGGGCUAAACCAUGCACCGAAGCUGCGGCAGCGACGCUUAUGCGUUGUUGGGUAGGGGAGCGUUCUGUAAGCCUGUGAAGGUGUACUGUGAGGUAUGCUGGAGGUAUCAGAAGUGCGAAUGCUGACAUAAGUAACGAUAAAGCGGGUGAAAAGCCCGCUCGCCGGAAGACCAAGGGUUCCUGUCCAACGUUAAUCGGGGCAGGGUGAGUCGACCCCUAAGGCGAGGCCGAAAGGCGUAGUCGAUGGGAAACAGGUUAAUAUUCCUGUACUUGGUGUUACUGCGAAGGGGGGACGGAGAAGGCUAUGUUGGCCGGGCGACGGUUGUCCCGGUUUAAGCGUGUAGGCUGGUUUUCCAGGCAAAUCCGGAAAACUAAGGCUGAGGCGUGAUGACGAGGCACUACGGUGCUGAAGCAACAAAUGCCCUGCUUCCAGGAAAAGCCUCUAAGCAUCAGGUAACAUCAAAUCGUACCCCAAACCGACACAGGUGGUCAGGUAGAGAAUACCAAGGCGCUUGAGAGAACUCGGGUGAAGGAACUAGGCAAAAUGGUGCCGUAACUUCGGGAGAAGGCACGCUGAUAUGUAGGUGAAGUCCCUCGCGGAUGGAGCUGAAAUCAGUCGAAGAUACCAGCUGGCUGCAACUGUUUAUUAAAAACACAGCACUGUGCAAACACGAAAGUGGACGUAUACGGUGUGACGCCUGCCCGGUGCCGGAAGGUUAAUUGAUGGGGUCAGCGCAAGCGAAGCUCUUGAUCGAAGCCCCGGUAAACGGCGGCCGUAACUAUAACGGUCCUAAGGUAGCGAAAUUCCUUGUCGGGUAAGUUCCGACCUGCACGAAUGGCGUAAUGAUGGCCAGGCUGUCUCCACCCGAGACUCAGUGAAAUUGAACUCGCUGUGAAGAUGCAGUGUACCCGCGGCAAGACGGAAAGACCCCGUGAACCUUUACUAUAGCUUGACACUGAACAUUGAGCCUUGAUGUGUAGGAUAGGUGGGAGGCUUUGAAGUGUGGACGCCAGUCUGCAUGGAGCCGACCUUGAAAUACCACCCUUUAAUGUUUGAUGUUCUAACGUUGACCCGUGAUCCGGGUUGCGGACAGUGUCUGGUGGGUAGUUUGACUGGGGCGGUCUCCUCCUAAAGAGUAACGGAGGAGCACGAAGGUUGGCUAAUCCUGGUCGGACAUCAGGAGGUUAGUGCAAUGGCAUAAGCCAGCUUGACUGCGAGCGUGACGGCGCGAGCAGGUGCGAAAGCAGGUCAUAGUGAUCCGGUGGUUCUGAAUGGAAGGGCCAUCGCUCAACGGAUAAAAGGUACUCCGGGGAUAACAGGCUGAUACCGCCCAAGAGUUCAUAUCGACGGCGGUGUUUGGCACCUCGAUGUCGGCUCAUCACAUCCUGGGGCUGAAGUAGGUCCCAAGGGUAUGGCUGUUCGCCAUUUAAAGUGGUACGCGAGCUGGGUUUAGAACGUCGUGAGACAGUUCGGUCCCUAUCUGCCGUGGGCGCUGGAGAACUGAGGGGGGCUGCUCCUAGUACGAGAGGACCGGAGUGGACGCAUCACUGGUGUUCGGGUUGUCAUGCCAAUGGCACUGCCCGGUAGCUAAAUGCGGAAGAGAUAAGUGCUGAAAGCAUCUAAGCACGAAACUUGCCCCGAGAUGAGUUCUCCCUGACUCCUUGAGAGUCCUGAAGGAACGUUGAAGACGACGACGUUGAUAGGCCGGGUGUGUAAGCGCAGCGAUGCGUUGAGCUAACCGGUACUAAUGAACCGUGAGGCUUAACCUU
rnacentral:rRNA from 1 species